AUAAACAGCCCCAGAGACACUUUGAAAGGAAGAGUGCAGUCACUCAGUGACACAGCUAUGUCGCCUCCGAAGAGCCACCGCGCCAACUAUCCUUGGUGCCAGUUACAUCAGGGGUACCAGGCACACACACACACACACACACACUGCUGUGGGACAGUUUUUUUCAUUAUUGAGACAUUCCUUCCUGCAGAGAAGCUCCUUAAGACAGGAAGGAAAACAACUCAAAAUAGCUUCAAGAAGUCUCUGAACCUGACUAGAUUCGCUGGGCUACUCUCUGUCGGUAAACAAUUAAAGCUGACCAAAAUCGCUGAACUGCAAAGAAGAUGUUGAGAGCCGGCCUGAUGCUUGGAAGAUGCAGCCUUCAAAGCUGCCUGGAAGAGGUUUAGACCAACUGAGGCACCCGGAAAGGACACGCUCCAGCCUGCAGAGCUGUCUGCAGGCUGCGUAGUAUGCUCCAGGUCUGCAGCUUUGUGGGCUGUCACCCGAGCUGGGGUGGGCUUCGGUGAAGGAGCCAUCUUUGAGUCAUUUCUGCUCCCGUAGAUAACCCCUUGCUCAUAUUGCUAUGAGUAACCCCAAUAAAAGUCAUUGGCUCACCUA